rfam:Schistosoma curassoni strain Dakar, Senegal genome assembly, scaffold: SCTD_scaffold0000732
ACCCUGCUGUCGAGUGCCAAAUAGCACGAAACUCGGGUCCAGGGU